rnacentral:rRNA from 1 species
CUAAACUAACUUAGAACACAACUCUCAGCAACGGAUAUCUUGGCUCUUGCAACGAUGAAGAACGCAGCGAAAUGCGAUACGUAGUGUGAAUUGCAGAAUUCCGCGAAUCAUCGAGUUUUUGAACGCAAGUUGCGCCCGAGGCUUGUCCAAGG